rnacentral:rRNA from 1 species
AGAGUUUGAUCCUGGCUCAGGAUGAACGCUGGCGGCGUGCCUAAUACAUGCAAGUCGAACGGAGAAUGUAGCAAUACGUUCUUAGUGGCGAACGGGUGAGUAACGCGUUGGUGACCUGCCCCGAAGUGGGGGAUAACAGCUCGAAAGGGUUGCUAAUACCCCAUGUGGUCUUCAGGAUUAGAUGCCCGAUGAUUAAAGGUGUAAACCACUUCGGGAGGGGCCUGCGUCCCAUCAGCUAGUUGGUAGGGUAAUGGCCUACCAAGGCUUCGACGGGUAGGGGACCUGAGAGGGUGACCCCCCACAAUGGAACUGAAACACGGUCCAUACACCUACGGGUGGCAGCAGUGAGGAAUAUUGGUCAAUGGGCGAAAGCCCGAACCAGCAACGCCGCGUGUGCGAUGAAGGCCUUCGGGUUGUAAAGCACUUUUGGAGGGGAAGAGAAGGGACGGUACCCUCCGAAUAAGCCUCGGCUAACUACGUGCCAGCAGCCGCGGUAACACGUAGGAGGCGAGCGUUAUCCGGAUUUACUGGGUGUAAAGCGCGUGCAGGCGGUUCGGUAAGUUGGAUGUGAAAGCUCCUGGCUUAACUGGGAGAGGUCGUUCAAUACUGCCGGGCUAGAGGAUGGGAGAGGGAGGUGGAAUUCCGGGUGUAGUGGUGAAAUGCGUAGAUAUCCGGAGGAACACCAGUGGCGAAGGCGGCCUCCUGGCCCAUUUCUGACGCUCAGACGCGAAAGCUAGGGGAGCGAACGGGAUUAGAGACCCCGGUAGUCCUAGCCGUAAACGAUGGAAAUGGGCGUCGGCGGGUUUAAAUCCGUCGGUGCCGCAGCUAACGCGAUAAGUCA